UGCCUGGCUCCCUGAAUGCCAUCUAAGAAGCCUUGGCAAAGAGUGUUGGCAACCUUCUUACUUGGCAUGAGGGGAGUCAUGCAGG
rnacentral:pre_miRNA from 1 species